ensembl:lncRNA
GUCAGAUCAGCUCGCUACUGCUGCGCCCGACUGCACGCAAGGCUUCAGUAUUAGCGUAAGGCCUUUGGCUCUCGGACAAUCUUUCUCUCAAUUACUUUUGAUUUAUAUUGUAUUAUAGUGUGCUAUCUUACAUUCCGAUACUAUAUUUAGUAAAUUAGUUUGUUUCUCCUCAGAUCGUUGCCGCUGUUUUUAAUUAUUUUGGGGUCCCCUGUUUCCCUUCCUGGAGGCGCGGAUUUUGCAAAAUCCCUCCACCCCACUAGUCACGGAACCGGGCCGGACCAGCCCUUAAACCGUUGAUAGCAUCUUAAGUUAUCUCCCAGGAAGAUCUGCUCCAUGAUCAUU